GGGGAUGACUGGUUUCGACUUGGAACGGUAGUUCUAGGAGAAGCGGGCCGAGGAUUCAGGGUUAUCUCGAUAACGACCCCUGGAAACAAUAAGUGCCAACGAAGUUCGCACAGACUUCGCUCUUGCUGCUUAAUCAGCAACCGAAGGGUCAGCCUGGGGGUGCCUUCCCUCCAGUUCCUGGCCUCGUUUAGAAGGCUUACCCUCUCGCUUUCGUCUUAGGGGCAUGAGGGAACAUUAAUAAGACUGGGCUUGUUCAUGACGGGUUUCCGAGUCCAUGAAAGCCAAGUAAAACGUUAAGUGAAACUGCGCCCGGAGAAGACCUAAAACGCCUUUCGAGGACGGGGGUUCGAUUCCCCCCAUCUCCACAA
rnacentral:tmRNA from 1 species